rnacentral:ncRNA from 4 species
CCGUCUUGAAACACGGACCAAGGA